rnacentral:rRNA from 1 species
CCUGUGGGGGAUAACUGUCCGAAAGGAUAGCUAAUACCGCAUUCGUCGCCCGGACCUUUGGGUCUGGUCGGGAAAGCAGGCCUCUCCAUGGAAGCUUGCGCAGUUGGAUGAGCUCGCGGCCCAUCAGCUUGUUGGUAGGGUAAUGGCCUACCAAGGCGAAGACGGGUAGCUGGUCUGAGAGGAUGAUCAGCCACACUGGGACUGAGACACGGCCCAG